AUGGAACUUAUAUUCAUGCAAACGGUCACAAAAAUGCAAUCGAUUCGGCCAAAUUUCAACCAGAAACAUAAUUUUCGCAACAGUACAGCUUCAGAGAAAUCGAGUAAAAAAAUGUCCAAAUCGAAAAACUGUACACGCAAAGAGUUUCGGAUAGCUCAAAAGACAUGGUUUUCAUUAACGAGAGUUGAAAAAACUCAAAGCGGAUCAAAAGUUAUGGCAAAAUACCGUUUAUGUCAAGUUUUGGACAUUUUCCAAGAGAAGAGCCAAUUUCCAUUAAACUCAAACUAA